GUGCGGCGGAGGCGGGCGGGAGCCAGGAGGUCGCGCCGCAGCUCGCGUGACGCACCGCGGGGCCUCGCCCGGGUGUUCGCUCCGCCGCCUGUCCGCGGAUCCGCGCUGCGAGCCCCGCGGCUGCCUGCGGGACACCUGAGCGCGGAGGGUGCGGCACGUUGGCACCUUGAUCCUGUGGCAGGGACAUCUCGGCCCAGGAAAGAAUGAGGUUUAGGCACGGCCUAACCACCUAAGUGAGGGCACUGAAGCUGCCGGGGGAAGGGCAAGGUCCGCGUUGCAGAGCCCAAGCCCAGUGGCGCAGGAUUUGUUUUGGUCUCAGUUUGCUUCAUCUGUGGAAUGGAGAUGGUUUCCUAUGUGAUCAUGAAAAUUUCUCCCAGCUCUGAAGACCUUUUAUUUUGUAAGAAUCAUUGUGAAGACCAAAGAUGUGGCCCUUAUGCCCGUGGAAGCUUUUAAUUGUCUCUUUUGGAAACUAGUUUUGAUUCUUCAUAAUCACGUCUGUUUGAGGACACGGACGAUCAAUAUGCCUUUCCAGUAAAGCUAACAAAAAACAAAACAAAAUAAAACCAUAUCCAACAUACUAAACAGCUGUCUCCAAGAUCAGAAGGCAUCAGAAAAGACCCUCAAGAGUUGUCUAAUCCCAGAGGAAGAUCUUGUUUAAGUGGAGAAGUGCUCACAGCAGAAACCUUGGAAAUUUCAGGGAGUGGAAUUUUAUUGUCAGAACUUUCAAUAAAAGUGUAGCCACAGAUCCUGGGAGCAUUAAAUAAAAAUUACCAACAAGCUGUCUUACCUGUGUGCACUCCACUGAAAGGAAGGGCAAACAUGAGCAAGGAGCUCUUGUACAUCAGUCAAAAUUCUGACAGCUACCCUGUGAAGUUUGACGGGCUGCCAUGUGCUAGACUACCUAAGAUACUCUUAACUGAACCAUAAAAAGACAAAUAAAUUAGUAAUUGUAUCCCUCCUGUCAAUGUCCUUUUUCGUGAACUUCUCAAGGUGUUGGUUAACAUUGUCUGGAAUGAUUUAUCAAUAUAUUCUUAGCUUUCUUAGAAAAGACAGAUAGACUUGAUUUUUUUCCAAAUUGUUUUUUGAAUUGAUUUAAGAAAAUGAUACAGAUAUUGCCAAUUGCUGGGCCUCUCUUUUUCACUCCCUGCUCUGCCUCCUCCGAUUAUUAAAUCAAACCAAUAAGAUUAACAUAAUCUUUCUUAGAAUUGACUGUUCUUUUUAAAUAGAUCCCAUGAUAGACAUGUGUAAAAAUCAAUAACAGCCUCCUCAUUUGUCAAAGCUAAUGACUAAACUCAUUUUGAAGUUCAAUAGUGGUUACUGGAGAGUGGCCACACAUUAUAUAUCUAAUCCUGUAUGUCUCGACACUUAUUCUGCAGAACAGAGGAAAAGGCUUUGUUGCUUGAGGCACAGUAUAAAAGCUGGUGUCUCCAUUGUAUUUGUACAUAUUCACAUUUCCUCCAAACUAUGACAAUUGUUGAUUGUCCAAGCUAAUACAUUAAAGGAAAUAAAAGGAAAAAUAAAUCUGGUAAAUUUGUAACACUCCCCACCCCACCUUUUAGCUAAUUCAAUUAAUUGUAAGUUCCUUCAAUUAUAUGCUUAACUCCUUGAGGUUGCGAAAUAUGUCUUACAUAUUUUUAAUAUCCCCAGACACACUAACGUAGUGAUUGGGUCACAGGCUAGCAUGAAAUAAAGAUUUUGUUGAAUUACAGAGAAUUAUAUUAUCCAAUACUUUGGACAAUGGCAUAGCAGUUAUUUUAGACCAGACACUUUUAUCCAGUGUAAAGUGCAAAAGAUGCAGCUUUCCUGCAGACUUCUCUUUGAUAGAUGCUUUGCAUCACAGGGUGGUUUAAAUAGUGUUUGCUUCUGAGGUGUUCCUGCUACCUUCCACAAAGCCUUUUCCAGGCACUGCAAAAGUGUGAGAGCUAACAGCUUUUGGUAUAAUACUCUCUUCCUUUUCAAAUAUCCUCUGAUUAUAGAUAAAUGCCAGCAACAGAGCAUCUUAAAAUCCAGAAUAGGUAUUUGGAUGAAAUAUAGGCAUGACAUGUAGCCCUGAACUAAUUGAGAUUACAUUUAAAAAUUAUUAAUAAAAACACUAUCUUAUAUCUGCAUAAUGCUUUAUGCUUUACAAAGGUUCUUCAUAUAUCCCAACUCAUUUUCUCAUUUUCUCACCCCAAGUCACAACACUUAAUAAAUAUUUCUUUCAUUUCCCUAAAAAUUCCAGAUUGGGGUUUACUGUUCUGUCCUCCUUCCUUCAUCAGCAAGUUGCCUUUUUCUGGGCUCCAGGUUGUAUAUUGUAUUGCAUGCCCAUUGAGCAUGGCCAUCUCUUGGAAUCAAUAGGUCAGAUACAAUUUGAAACUCCCUAGGUAAUGGAUUUUAAAAACUGCUUGAGGGUGGGGGAGAGAGAGGAGGAAAAGGAAUCCACAGGAACAAUAACUGAAGUGGAGUGAUAUAUUCCUGGUGGGAGCUGGAGAACUGUUCUUUAUAAUAGCUUCUCAGGGGAGAAGCCGCCCUUUUCCAGCAGGAGGUGUCCUGGGAAUAGCAGAGCCACUGCCAUUCCAUUCUUCUGAUGAACAGAAACCUUAUCAGUGUAAUUCCCCUUGAAAGCUGAUGGGAGAGGGAAGGAGUUUAAAGACGUGAAAAAUUUGGGUUGUGAGGGGUGGAAAGCCCAGACUCCAGCUUGUUCAUUUGGAAUAUUUCUUGUGAGGGAGAAGAUAUUCUGCCAAAUUUAGGGUCCUUUCAGAGCUCACAGAUUCUGACAGCUGAUCUAAGUUCAGUGCAUGAGUUUAUCCUUGCCAGGGAGAGAGGGAGCAGUAAGUGAAAAGAAUGUUUUAUGAAUUAAAUACAAAGUAUAAAAACCAAAAUGCUUGCCUCCAAUAUAUCACUAUGUGCUAAUAUUUUCAGUUGCGGCUAUGCAAUAAGGAUGUCAAAGCAUUAGUCUUUAAAUAAUAAGGCGCAUCAAUAAUUUUGACUUUAGAAUAAAACACAGACACCUUGCAUUUGCA